rnacentral:rRNA from 1 species
CAGUAGCCGCGGGAAUACGAACCGUGCGAACGUUAUUCGGAAUUACUGGGCUUAAAGCGCGUGUAGGCGGGCCGCCACGUCGGUUGCUGAAAUCCCCCGGCUCAACCGGGGAAGUGGCAUCGAUACGAGCGGCCUUGAGGGGGGUAGGGGGAUCUGGAACUUCCGGUGGAGCGGUGAAAUGCGUUGAGAUCGGAAGGAACGCCCGUGGCGAAAGCGAGGUCCUGGACCCUUUCUGACGCUGAGACGCGAAAGCCAGGGGAGCGAACGGGAUUAGAUACCCCCGUAGUCCCUGUCUCUUAUU